UACGUAGGGGGGCAAGCGUUUGUCCGGAUUUAUUGGGCGUAAAAGAGCUCGUAGGCGGUUGGGCAAGUCACGUGUGAAAUCUCCACGCUCAACGUGGAGGCGCCACGUGAGACUGCCCUGACUCGAGUCCGGUAGGGGAGUGUGGAAUUCCCCGGUGUAGCGGUGAAAUGCGCAGAUAUCGGGAGGAACACCAGUGGCGAAGGCGGCACUCUGGGCCGGUACUGACGCUGAGGAGCGAAAGCGUGGGGAGCGAACAGG
rnacentral:rRNA from 1 species